rnacentral:rRNA from 1 species
CAAGAUUAAAACUCAAAGGAAUAGACGGGGACCCGCACAAGCGGUGGAGCAUGUGGUUUAAUUCGAAGAUACGCGAAGAACCUUACCUGGGCUUGAUAUCCUAAGAACCUUUUAGAGAUAAGAGGGUGCUAGCUUGCUAGAACUUAGAGACAGGUGCUGCACGGCUGUCGUCAGCUCGUGUCGUGAGAUGUUGGGUUAAGUCCCGCAACGAGCGCAACCCACGUAUUUAGUUGCUAACGGUUCGGCCGAGCACUCUAAAUAGACUGCCUUCGUAAGGAGGAGGAAGGUGUGGACGACGUCAAGUCAUCAUGGCCCUUAUGCCCAGGGCGACACACGUGCUACAAUGGCAUAUACAAUGAGACGCAAUACCGCGAGGUGGAGCAAAUCUAUAAAAUAUGUCCCAGUUCGGAUUGUUCUCUGCAACUCGAGAGCAUGAAGCCGGAAUCGCUAGUAAUCGUAGAUCAGCCAUGCUACGGUGAAUACGUUCCCGGGUCUUGUACUCACCGCCCGUCACACCAUGGGAGUUGAUUUCACUCGAAGCCGGAAUACUAAACUAGUUACCGUCCACAGUGGAAUCAGCGACUGGGGUGAAGUCGUAACAAGGUAACCGUAGGAGAACCUGCGGUUGGAUCACCUCCUUUCUA